CACGUAGGGUGCGAGCGUUGUCCGGAAUUAUUGGGCGUAAAGAGCUCGUAGGCGGCUUGUCGCGUCGACUGUGAAAUCCCGCGGCUCAACUGCGGGUCUGCAGUCGAUACGGGCAGGCUAGAGUUCGGUAGGGGAGACUGGAAUUCCUGGUGUAGCGGUGAAAUGCGCAGAUAUCGGGAGGAACACCGGUGGCGAAGGCGGUUCUCUGGGCCUGUACUGACGCUGAGGAGCGAAAGCAUGGGGAGCGAACAGG
rnacentral:rRNA from 1 species